CCUAGUAACGGCGAGUGAAGCGGCAAUAGCUCAAAUUUGAAAUCUGGCGUCUUCGGCGUCCGAGUUGUAAUUUGUAGAGGAUGCUUCUGGGCAGCCACCGGUCUAAGUUCCUUGGAACAGGACGUCAUAGAGGGUGAGAAUCCCGUAUGCGACCGGAAGGGCACCCUCCACGUAGCUCCUUCGACGAGUCGAGUUGUUUGGGAAUGCAGCUCUAAAUGGGAGGUAAAUUUCUUCUAAAGCUAAAUACUGGCCAGAGACCGAUAGCGCACAAGUAGAGUGAUCGAAAGAUGAAAAGCACUUUGGAAAGAGAGUUAAAAAGCACGUGAAAUUGUUGAAAGGGAAGCGUUUGCAACCAGACUUGCUCGCGGUGUUCCGCCGGUCUUCUGACCGGUUCACUCGCCGCGUUGCAGGCCAGCAUCGUCUGGGGCCGCCGGAUAAGACCUUGGUAAUGUAGCUCCCCCUCGGGGGAGUGUUAUAGACCAUGUUGAUGCGGCGCGUCCCGGGCGAGGUCCGCGCUUCGGCUAGGAUGCUGGCGUAAUGGUUGUAAACGGCCCGUCUUGAAACACGGACCAAGGAGUCUAACAUCUAUGCGAGUGUUCGGGUGUCAAACCCCUACGCGUAAUGAAAGUGAACGGAGGUGGGAACUUUAUUGUGCACCAUCGACCGAUCCUGAUGUCUUCGGAUGGAUUUGAGUAAGAGCAUAGCUGUUGGGACCCGAAAGAUGGUGAACUAUGCCUGAAUAGGGUGAAGCCAGAGGAAACUCUGGUGGAGGCUCGCAGCGGUUCUGACGUGCAAAUCGAUCGUCAAAUUUGGGUAUAGG
rnacentral:rRNA from 1 species